rnacentral:rRNA from 1 species
AGAGUUUGAUCCUGGCUCAGAACGAACGCUGGCGGCAUGCCUAACACAUGCAAGUCGAACGAGACCUUCGGGUCUAGUGGCGCACGGGUGCGUAACGCGUGGGAAUCUGCCCUUAGGUUCGGAAUAACUCAGGGAAACUUGAGCUAAUACCGGAUAAUAUCGCGAGAUCAAAGAUUUAUCGCCUAGGGAUGAGCCCGCGUAGGAUUAGCUAGUUGGUGGGGUAAAAGCUCACCAAGGCGACGAUCCUUAGCUGGUCUGAGAGGAUGAUCAGCCACACUGGGACUGAGACACGGCCCAGACUCCUACGGGAGGCAGCAGUGGGGAAUAUUGGACAAUGGGCGAAAGCCUGAUCCAGCAAUGCCGCGUGAGUGAUGAAGGCCUUAGGGUUGUAAAGCUCUUUUACCCGGGAUGAUAAUGACAGUACCGGGAGAAUAAGCUCCGGCUAACUCCGUGCCAGCAGCCGCGGUAAUACGGAGGGAGCUAGCGUUGUUCGGAAUUACUGGGCGUAAAGCGCACGUAGGCGGCUUUGUAAGUUAGAGGUGAAAGCCUGGGGCUCAACCCCAGAAUUGCCUUUAAGACUGCAUCGCUCGAAUCCAGGAGAGGUGAGUGGAAUUCCGAGUGUAGAGGUGAAAUUCGUAGAUAUUCGGAGGAACACCAGGAGCGAAGGCGGCUCACUGGCCCGAUACUGNNNNUGAGGCGCGAAAGCGUGGGGAGCAAACAGGAUUAGAUACCCUAGUAGUCC